CACAGAGCAGUCCUGGCUUGUUGAUGAGCAAUAUCACAAGGACAACCAGACUCUGCUUCUCUGCUAUAAUUUAUGACUGGGUAUAUCAAAGGAACUACCACUGACUCAUAAUCCAGAUCCUAAAGUACUUCCAGCAAUACAAAGACUUUGUACCCAGUGUUUGGCUUCUGUGGGAAUGGUCUGAGGUUUUCUGAAGACAAGACACACCCUAUCCUAUGAUUGUUUCAAUUCAUAUCCUAUCUCGAGCAAAAGGCUUUGUCUGAAGCUGUCAUGACGUCACUAGCUGAGACUGCCAGAGGACUUUUGUUGGACCUGAACUUCUCCAUAGUGGAAAUAUUUCCUGACCACGGAAUCACAGCAGUGCAAGAGCAGAGCAGUUUUACUGUCUUAUCUCCUCUGCAGACAAACAUUCUUCCUCCUGCAGAUCACCAUAAGGCUUUUCAGGGAAAAUUCCCUCGGAUCUUUUUCUACUACUGCUCCAACUACACA
rnacentral:lncRNA from 1 species